UACGAAGGGGGCUAGCGUUGCUCGGAAUCACUGGGCGUAAAGCGCACGUAGGCGGCUUUUUAAGUCAGGGGUGAAAUCCUGGAGCUCAACUCCAGAACUGCCUUUGAUACUGAGUAGCUUGAGUCCGGGAGAGGUGAGUGGAACUGCGAGUGUAGAGGUGAAAUUCGUAGAUAUUCGCAAGAACACCAGUGGCGAAGGCGGCUCACUGGCCCGGUACUGACGCUGAGGUGCGAAAGCGUGGGGAGCAAACAGG
rnacentral:rRNA from 1 species